GGAAGAAGAAGGAAGCCAAAGUAUCUGAUGCACUGGAGAAUGAAAACCCGUUCAAAAUCAGAAGUAUAGAGAAGUUUUCUGUAAAAUGGAAAUGAGUAUCAUGAAGUUUUAAAUGAACAGUGUAAAACAGAAGACAUCAGCAUUCAUUAGGUCCCAGACCUCUUUGAGAAUCUGAUGAAAUUCUGGACAACCUCUCCUCCCACAAACAAGAUGUACUUGAAUACCUACACAUAAAAUGUUGCAUUCAAUUUUGGAAUGUGAAGAGAGAUCAUUUGAAGCCGAUCCAGAGGCCUCUAAGGACUUGACUGGUGCAGUAUUGGUGGCUGCUGGGUCAGAUGAACUCCCUGCUAUUCCAAGAAACAAUACAUGUUUGCAGCCACUAAGAUUUGGGGACUUUUGAUAUUACUGCCUAUCCUGACAGACUCAGGUGCUACGACUAUUUAAGGGGUGACUGGAUCUCACUCGGGCACCUAGACUGGAGGGUAGUGGCACAAACUCCUGGGCUCAGAUGUCCUCCCACCUCCACCUUCUGAGUAGCUGGAAUUACAGGAAUGAACCAUCAUGCUCAG